rnacentral:rRNA from 1 species
AACGAACGCUGGCGGCAGGCCUAACACAUGCAAGUCGAACGGGCACCUUCGGGUGUCAGUGGCAGACGGGUGAGUAAUACGUGAGAACGUGCCCUUCAGUUCGGAACAACCCAGGGAAACUUGGGCUGAUACCGGAUACGCCCUUACGGGGAAAGAUUUAUCGCUGAAGGAUCGGCUCGCGUCUGAUUAGCUGGUUGGUGGGGUAACGGCCCACCAAGGCGACGAUCAGUAGCUGGUCCGAGAGGAUGAUCAGCCACACUGGGACUGAGACACGGCCCAGACUCCUACGGGAGGCAGCAGUGGGGAAUAUUGGACAAUGGGCGCAAGCCUGAUCCAGCCAUGCCGCGUGAGUGAUGAAGGCCCUAGGGUUGUAAAGCUCUUUCGGCGGGGAAGAUAGUGACGGUACCCGCAGAAGAAGCCCCGGCUAACUUCGUGCCAGCAGCCGCCGUAACAC